rnacentral:rRNA from 1 species
UAAUACGGAGGGGGCUAGCGUUGUUCGGAAUUACUGGGCGUAAAGCGCACGUAGGCGGUCUUUUAAGUCAGAGGUGAAAGCCCGGGGCUCAACUCCGGAAUUGCCUUUGAAACUGGGAGACUUGAACACGGGAGAGGUGAGUGGAAUUCCGAGUGUAGAGGUGAAAUUCGUAGAUAUUCGGAGGAACACCAGUGGCGAAGGCGGCUCACUGGACCGUUGUUGACGCUGAGGUGCGAAAGCGUGGGGAGCAAACAGG